rnacentral:rRNA from 1 species
UCCUCCCUCUGGCGGCGUGCUUAACACAUGCAAGUCGAACGCUGAAGCUCAGCUUUUGUUGGGUGGAUGAGUGGCGAACGGGUGAGUAACACGUGAGUAACCUGCCCCCUUCUUUGGGAUAACGCCCGGAAACGGGUGCUAAUACUGGAUAUUCACUGGUCUUCGCAUGGGGGUUGGUGGAAAGGGUUUUUCUGGUGGGGGAUGGGCUCGCGGCCUAUCAGCUUGUUGGUGGGGUGAUGGCCUACCAAGGCUUUGACGGGUAGCCGGCCUGAGAGGGUGACCGGUCACAUUGGGACGGAGAUACGGCCCAGACUCGUACGGGAGGCAGCAGUGGGGAAUAUUGCACAAUGGGCGCAAGCCUGAUGCAGCGACGCCGCGUGAGGGAUGGAGGCCUUCGGGUUGUGAACCUCUUUCGCUCAUGGUCAAGCCGAAACAAUGGUUGUGGUGAGGGUAGUGGGUAAAGAAGCGCCGGCUAACUACGUG